GGGCAUAAUUUCCGGUUCCCGCGCGGCGCUCCAAAGCUCGGGGAGUGGUGGUCUCCUUUUCCCGGAUUCAGUUGUGGGAGUUAGGGUCUUAUCCUGAUCUUCCCUCGUACCCCGCUCCCCCGUCCUCCGAGGUGGCACUUGCGCAGAAGUCUGAAACUUUUUUUUUUCUUGGUGUUCCAUAAUGGAGACUGAAGUGUACCCAGAGACACAAAGAAAUACAGACAUCCAGAAUGAUCAAAUGAGAUCACUACCCAAUGAAACAAUGGGCCGAGCAGCCAGAAGUUGUCCUACUACCUGUUUUCCAGGUCCAGAUUCCACGGGAGCCUUCUGGGCUCCCGCCAGACAGCCUCAGUGAAGACUCUGUUGAAGACUUUAAGACCAUGCUAGAAAGCCUCCAGAGGUUCAGGAAGUUCCGCUGUGAGGAUGCAGCUGGCCCCAGGGAUGUCCUCAUCCGGCAUCUCCUGGACCUUUCUAGUCGGUGGUUGAGACCUGAUAUUCACACAAAGAAGCAGAUUGUGGGAAUGCUGGUGCAGGAGCAAUUCCAGGCUGUCCUGCCCGAGGAGCUCAGAGCUCAAGCACAGAGAUGUCAGCCUGGAAUCAGAAUCACUGGCUAAGUCUUGCUGCUUGCUUCUUGCUCAGCCUGCAUAUGAGACGUCAACCUAAGUGUUCUCUUGGAUGCAAGAUUCAACUCACCUGUGGGAAAUCUGAACUUCCACUUUCUUUGAGCUUGUCUUUGACUGGUUGUAACAAGAAUCCAUCAAAACCCAUGUUUGGAUCUCUUUUUGGCUGAGGCAACUUUAUUUCCUACGGAAAGAGUUUCUCUGUCCUCGUUAGGACAAUCGGCCUGCUGCUUUGGGCUUUUCCAAGAGCCUAUUUUUCAUCUGGUUGCCUCUUUUUUUGCACUUUGUGACAUGCUUUAAUAUAUUGUUUUUAUGUAUCCAAAGAGGUAAUCAGCUUUAACUUUCAGAAUUCGUGAAUCUUGGUUUGGUGGCAUGAAUGAAAGCUUAUGUAACCCCACCAGUAACUCAUUUGGGGUACCCUUGAAAUAUUAAAGUUUGGUCCUCAAUAAAUAUGUCCUGUGGUGAUUAAUCAGUUAGCGCUUAGUAGUCAGCAAUUGGAGACAGGUGAGAUAAUUAUCAGGCGCAGAUGAGAGCUAGUGAUAAGAACUAUGGCUGUGGUGUUUGUUGCGCUGUGAAAUAGGAAGUCCUGGCCUUUGUUUUCAAAGUCAAGAUUUAGAUUGGACAGAACUGAGAAUGGGGUCAAACAGGGUCAUAAGAGUCCGCAGGGAUCCGGAACUCCUGGUAUUCAGGAAUUUCCUGGCCUCCAUCAGUUUCUCAGCUGCUUCAAUGAUGUAGGAUUUGGUCUGUGAGUAAAGGACCUGGCUUUACAGGUGGACUCAGAUUUUCACCUCAGAGAUUUUAUGACACGACAACUGAGGUUCCUUGCUUCCUUCCUUCCUUCCUUCCUUUUC